GUGACCGUGGCGCUGUUUGUGGGCCGCAGUGUUGUGCUGUGCAGACCCGGGCGGAGAGCAGGUGACAGUGACGGCUCAGGCGGGGAAAGGGAAAGCAAUGAGAACCCUUUUUGGGAUCUGGAAUUUUUUCUCUGGGUUUUCCCAAGGUCUUUCAAAGAUUUAACUCCUUAGAAGCCAGGAAGGUAUGAAACCGAAAAAAAGAGCCGAACUCCUUUUGUUGAACCUUUAUAAUAAUUCAGAUGCAUAGAGAACUGAAGAAGGAAGCUUUCCUGGAAAUACUUGUGUCAUCCCUUAAUGAAUCGUUGAGUAGAAAUUGCAAGUGUGGACUCCGCAUAGAAUUUAGAGAGUGAUUUGCCAUUUUAUCAGAGAUUAUUAACCAGUGCGAUGGAAUCAGAUAUUGACGUAGGUAAGACUAUAAAUAAAGAAAAAAAUGUUCACAGUAAGAACAGUAACACGUUUGGCCCAAAGGAGGAUGACACAGACUAUCCUGAAACGGAGACUUGGGGUGAAGAAGAGGAGGCUCAAGGUGAAAAUGGAGAAAAGGUGGUUCAAGGUGAGAAUGGAGAGAAGGUAGUUCAAGGUGAGAAUGGAGAGAACCGCUAUGCUUGCUUAUUGUGUGAUAAGACCUUCAGGUUUAUUUGGCAUUUGAGGAAACACAUAAUCAAACACUCCCAAAAGAAAGAAUACAAGUGUGGUGAGUGUGAUAAAGAAUUCCGUGACAAACAGGACCUUGUCGUACACCACAGAAUGCACACCGGGGAGAAACCUUAUAAGUGUUCGGAGUGCCCAAAAGGUUUUACGACCUUGUCGCACCUUACGAGCCACCAGAGAACUCACACGGGGGUGAAGCCCUACAUUUGCCCUGAGUGUAACUCAAGUUUUUCGUUCUCUUCGUGCUUGAAGAGGCAUCAACAGAUUCACAUCGGCGAUAAGCCACACAAGUGCCCGGAGUGUCCGAAAAGCUUCGGCCGGAAAAUGCACCUCGACAGGCACUUGAGAAUCCACACCGGAGAAAAGCCCUAUGAAUGUGAGAUAUGUGGGAAAAGAUUUAACAGAAAGUUUAUCUUGGAUACACACUACAAAGUUCAUAGGAGGGAAAAGCUUCAAGCCAAACAGGAAUGUUCCGACACGACGGAUGACUCAGACGACUGGUGAGGUGGAAAGUGCUGCCAAUCCAUGCCUUGAACCUCUGCCGAUCUGCUGAAUAUUUUUUUUAAAAUUGUUUCUAAUCAAAUAAAUAAUUCUCAUCAAUCGCAAACUGUAAAAAAAAAUAUUAAGAGACGUCAGAUGAAAAGAAACAAAUUAUUUAUACUUUUAAUGUAAGUCACUCAAGUACAAACCAUAAGAUGCGUGACUUGCAUGUAUUCCGCACAUUUUUUCAAUCCUAUUUAAGCGUCCGGGUGAAUAAUUAUGCAUCCGUGUGAAAGAAGAGUUCUUUGGGAUGAUACAAUGCAUAUAUAGUCUUUUUAUAUAUCUGAGUGAAGAGGUUGGCAAAUCAGUAACGCCUUUGGUAUGCAGAGAGAUUACAGCAGUCUGUGGGUGGGAUCCGGCCAGGUUUUACCGUCAGUGGAAAUACUGACGCCGGGGGUAUGGAUCGUUGGGUCGACCCAACUUAGGUCGACAGUCAUUAGCUCGACCACUGAAGGUUGACAUUGGCAUUAGGUCGACAUGGGCGUUAGGUCGACAUGUACUAGGUUGACAUGAGUUUUUGGAGUAUUUUUGGUGUUGUUUUUGCGUAAAGUGGUGGGGAACCCCAAUUAGUGCACCGUGUCCCCUCUCAUGGCUCGCCAUGCUUCGGGCAAAGUGCCUCGCGCUCGGUACAGGUUACCAUUCCACUCGUAGAACACGUGGAUCGUAAAGUAUGAAAAAAUCCAAAAAUUUUAACAUUUUUUAAAAAACUCAUGUCGACCUAUUGCAUGUCAACCGAAUGCUAACGUCGACCUAAUGACUGUCGACAUAACAAUCGUAUCCCGACGCUGGAAUACCGACAAGGAGCACCAUCCCGUCACUGGGGGUGGGGAGUUAGGAUUAGGCUGCGGGAAGGGGGGUUUAGGAUAAGGCACCACUGGGGAGGGUUAGGGUUGAGGUGUGUGUGUUGGAGAGGGGGUGUUAGUGGGGCAUUGGGAUAAGGUGACUAUACUUACCUUGCCCAUGUUGGACUUUUAAACAUUGGUAUAUGGCGGUCGGUCUCCUAACCGCCGGCAUUUCCUAUCCAACACGUCUGGGCACCUCUGUGAUGUGUGGAUAAGUGCAUACCGGUAACAUGUUUCACCGCCGCAGGCAACUAUCAGCUCAGAGACACAACAGUAACAGAUUCUUAUUUAUAUAUCCUGCUAGCAGCGACAGAUCUCUGGUAUUCACCUCCUGUGUUCCUGUAAAGGCAUUAUUUGAAACAGAUUUAGAUUUCUAUAAAUCAGAUUUAUCUGACAAUUUAUUUUCGAAUUCUAUAUAAAAUUUAUAUAUACUCACUAAUAAAAGACAUUAGGAACAAAUUAUUUUUAUGUGCUUUAUUUUGUUAUAGUUUAACUUGCCGCUUGGCGGUUCUGGGUUUGUAUAGCAUGCUGCUAGACUACAGACCACAGGGCAAUCUCUGGAGUGUUAGCUCUGCGGCUCCCCGGGACGCGCCGUGACGUCACCCGCCCAGUACAGAGCCGCCGCCGGGCGGGAUCCGCAGCAGAGGGGAGGAUGGGGCAGCGCCGGGUAUGCGGUAGAUGCUAGAAUCAAGUGGGCUAAGGGACCUUUUCCGUAAGGGGGAGGAGCCACGACACUAGCGGGAGGAGCUACGCCAGCGGGAUAGUUCCUCUACUAUCCACGCCACCAACUAUUACCAUUAGUAAUCAGGUGGCGAGGGUUCUUUUCGGGUACCCUGUUCGCCCGUAGCUCCUCCCCCUGGUGACGUGUCUCCUCCCCUAGAUACGUCAGAAGGUCCCUUCUCCCACUCCGAAAUAGAAUCAACCCCGGAAUCUAGACGCAACCGGUAUGCGGUGGGCAGGAAGGGAGCGCAGUAGAAGGGACAUGGCACCAGUGACUGGCAUCAGCAGCAGCUUAUCACAGCAGAGCACGGUAUGAAACAGAAAAAAAGAGCCGAACUCCUUUUUGUUGAACCUUUAUAAUAAUUCAGAUGCAUAGAGACCUGAAGAAGGAAGCUUUCCUGGAAAUACUUGUAUCAUCACUUCAUAGAGAAUUUCAGUAUUUGUUUUAUGAAUCGUUGAGUAGAAAUUGCAAGUGUGGACUCCGCAUAGAAUUUAGAGAGUGAUUUGCCAUUUAUCAGAGAUUAUUAACCUGUGCGAUGGAAUCAGAUAUUGACGUAGGUAAGACUAUAAAUAAAGAAAAAAGUGUUCACAGUAAGAACAGUAACACGUUUUGCCAAAAGGAGGAUGACACAGAUUAUCCUGAACCGGAGACUUGGGGUGAAGAAGAGGAGGCUCAAGGUGAAAAUGGAGAGAAGGUAGUUCAAGGUGAGAAUGGAGAGAAGGUGGUUCAAGGUGAGAAUGGAGAGAACCGCUAUGCUUGCUUAUUGUGUGAUAAGACCUUCAGGUUUAUUUGGCAUUUGAGGAAACACAUAAUCAAACACUCCCAAAAGAAAGAAUACAAGUGUGGUGAGUGUGAUAAAGAAUUCCGUGACAAACAGGACCUUGUCGUACACCACAGAAUGCACACCGGGGAGAAACCUUAUAAGUGUUCGGAGUGCCCAAAAGGUUUUACGACCUUGUCGCACCUUACGAGCCACCAGAGAACUCACACAGGGGUGAAGCCCUACAUUUGCCCUGAGUGUAACUCAAGUUUUUCGUUCUCUUCGUGCUUGAAGAGGCAUCAACAGAUUCACAUCGGCGAUAAGCCACACAAGUGCCCGGAGUGUCCGAAAAGCUUCACCCGGAAAACGAGCCUCAACAGGCACUUGAGAAUCCACACCGGAGAAAAGCCCUAUGAAUGUGAGAUAUGUGGGAAAAGAUUUAACAGGAAGUUUAUCCUGGAUACACACUACAAAGUUCAUAGGAGGGAAAAGCUUCAAGCCAAACAGGAAUGUUCCGACACGACGGAUGACUCAGACGACUGGUGAGGUGGAAAGUGCUGCCAAUCCAUGCCUUGAACAUCUGCCGAUCUGCUGAAUAUUUUUUUUUUAAAUUGUUUUUAAUCAAAUAAAUAAUUCUCAUCAAUCGCAAACUGUAAAAGAAAAUAUUAAGAGACGUCAGAUGUAAAGAAACAAAUUAUUUAUACUUUUAAUGUAACUCACUCAAUUACAAACCAUAAGAUGCGUGAUU